rnacentral:lncRNA from 1 species
GCUCAUUUCUUUCUUCUUCUCUCUAUACGUUGGUGUUCUAACCAAUAAUCACCGAUGCGAUGUUCUGUCCGAUCGAUUCAUGAACCAACUAACGGAUGCCAAAGUAUUGUAUUUUGUGAGUUCGUUAAAACGGAUGCCAAAAUGCUGUCUAAACAAGACUAUACUUUGUGAAUUUCGUUAAGGUUCGAAUCUCGUGACUACCGUUAAGGUUUGAUUUGGGUUUUACACAAAUACGUAUUCCAUUCUGUUAAACUAUAUGUUUAACUACCGAAAAUACUCCCCACUACACACACGCGAAUCACUAAUUAGUAUAGCAGGGUGCUGCUACGAUACAGGGUAUUAACUUGAUCGCUAUUACGAUUCAUUUUCCGACCGGUCAAUAUAUCCAAUGGAUGUUUAAGUGCCACCCACAUUAGGGUUAUACUUUGUCGUUCAUCGUUAAAUCGAUGGAUGUUUAAGUAUCGCACUUUGUUGUUCGUUGUAAGAAUUUGAUCUCGUGAGUUAUCGUAAUUGUUGUAUUAAGUUACCUACCUAGUUCGUGUGCACUAGGUUACAAGGCUAAAUCAAUAGGCUAAGCUCUGCCUGUAUAAAUCUGCAAUAUAUCAAGGCUUAUCUGUAGACUAAACUUUGGCCGUAUGAAUCUGCAUGUUUAUAAUGUAAUUACAGUAGAUUGGAGUAAGAAUUGGAUCCGGCACUGAAAGACUUCAAGAAGUGGCUUAUUUUAUUAAUUAAAUCAAAUUAAGAAAUAUUGUUUUUAUUAAAAAGCUACCUUUGUAAAACAUGGAAUUUAUUCCAUCUAUUUAAAUAAAAUCCGGUGUUUCUAAACUCUGAUAUUUUUCCUAACUCACGGUCCUGAUGAAAUUUCCGCUGUAAUGUUUUUCAAAAAUAAUCACCGGUACCACUGGACUGCUCACGGCUUCCGAUUCCGGCCAGGAUGGGGUCGGGGGUCGUGACAAUACAUACACACAUCAAGAGAAUAAAAAGGAAAAGAGAAAGGUUAUAUGUGCAUGGUUCACAAAAGAAACAGUAAAGUGAAUAUGUGGCUUACGGAUUUAUGUUAAGGCUUACGGUUUAAAUAAUGGUUUGAGGAGCCAUUUUUCGGGGGUUACGAGUGGUGAUCGAUAAAAACACCAUGGGGGAUCAUUCAACCUUCAGCUAAUCCACCUCUAACACCCACCAUCCAUCUCCAACAUCAUCUAACUUACCUAUAACCUUAAACCCUAACCGAUUCACCAUUACUAUCAUCAUCCCAUCAUCACCACCAUCUUAAUCCAUUCUCCACCAUCCUUUCACCUUCACCUUCAAACCCUAACCUCCAUCACUCCUCCUCGACUCAAAGUCAUGGCUCGGUGUUCGCGCUCGUCUCCAGGUGAUCGCGUCCAUUCAACCAUGAACGGUUAGUCUCUUCAGUUUCACCCCGGUGUGGAUUGUUGUAAGAUUUUCUAGGGUUUAUGCGAUUGUUUCUUGCUUCAACUUUGUGACAAAUUGUGUUUGAUUUUUGAAACCAUUGACAACAGUUUACAUUUGUUUCGUAUUCGUAAAUUGUCGAACGAUGUUAAACGUUAUGACUUUACGAAAUGGUUAUGUGUAGUUAUGCAUUGUCGUGGUUAGGUUUUACUUGUGUUGAUUACAAAGUGCAAGAAAAAGAGUAGCUAUCAUGUGCAGAUGUAAGACUUUUGUGGGAAUCAUUCAACUACAUCAUCAUUCACGAUUUUGGUGAGUAUUAUUAUUUUGGAAAAAAAAGAAUAGAAUUCACAAGAAAAGAAAAGAUAAUUCAUCUUAUAAGAAAGAGAAGGAAGAGACGUACAAGGAGGACUUUUUGGCAUUAAAUACAUAC